rnacentral:hammerhead_ribozyme from 2 species
GUCCAACUGAUGAGUCCAAAAAAUAAAAAUAAGGACGAAACACGUGUCUGGGGC